GUUAGCACUCUUUUGUGCUAUAAACGUAGUAGGCACACUAUCAUGAUAGCUGGAGAUGAAAAUUUUUGGUAAGAACAAGCCUGUUCACUCCUCACAUCAUGAUUUCCAGAUUCCCCCUCAGAUUUAUACUGCAGCUCUGAGGCACUUUCAGUGAAAUAUGCUGAAAGUCUUGCUCAUACCUCCCUGGAGCUACACACUGGAGAGCACAGCCGUGUGUGCUGCACAGCUUGGGCACCAGAGCAAAAGCUUCUGCACUGACUGCUCAUGUGGAAGACAGUUAAAAACAGUGAUGUUCAUUCUCCAGAUUACAAAAGCUAAUGAAGCAAAAGCAGUAUUUUGAAUAAUGAUGAACACCACAGACAGAGACGAAGCAUUUCAUUCAGAACCUAGGUUUGUUUUUUAUUUCUAAAGAGAAUUUAUUGCAGAAUUCAAAUGGGGCAAUACUGAAUUCCAGCAGUAAAGCUUCCCUUAAUUCACUGAAGGCAGCCUCUCCUGUCACAAGCAUCACUUGAAUUCCAAAACCUGUCUGCAUAGGUGAGGGGAGAGCAGUGGAAUGUUGCUCACCAGACUUCAGUAAGGUGUUUGAUGCUAUCUCCCAUGAUAUCCUCACAGACAAAGUCAUUAAGUGAAGGCUGGACAAAGGGAUGGUGAGAUGGAUGGAGAACUGGCUGAACAGCAGAGCUUAGGGGGCUUUUGAUCAGUGGCGAAGAGACCUGGAUGAAAACCUGCAACAAGUGAUAUCUCACAAGGGUUUUGAUACUGGGUCCAAUCUUGUUCAACUUAUAACUUAGAUGAAAGGGUAGAUACUUCCAGCAGGUUGGCUGAUGACACAAGGCUGGGAGGAGUGGCCAAUACCCCAGAGGGCUGUGCAGCCCUUCAGAUGGACCUCAACAGGCUGGAGAGUCGGGCAGAGAAGAACCUUCUGCAAUUCAAUGCAGAGAAAUGCAGGGUCCUGCACCUGGGGUGGAGCAGAGAUUGCACCUGCUGGAAGGCAGCUCUGCAGAGAAGGAACUAGGAGUCCUGGUGGACAAUCAGCUUUGCAUGUGUGGCCUGGUGCCGGGAAGGCCAAUGGAAGAGCCUUCAUUGCCAGCAGGCUGAGGGAGGUAAUCCUGCCUAUCUACUCAGCCCUGGUGAGGCCGCAUAUGCUGUCCUAGUUCUUGUCCUGUGCCUAGUUCUGGGGCCCUCAGUACAAGAGAGACAGGGAGAUCCUGGAGCAGGUCCACCAAAGGACCAUAAAAAUGAUUUCCUCUCAUGAGGAAAAGUUGUGAGAAUUGGGCCUAUCCAGCUUUGAGAAGAGAAAACCGAGAGAAGACAUCACCGAUGUCCGUCAGUAUCUGAAGGGAUGGUGAUGGGAGGAUGGACCGAGCUCUGUUCAGUGAUGCUGAGCAAAAGGACAAGAGAAAUGGGCAGAAACUCCUGCACAGCAAGUUCCACCUGAACAUGAGGAAGUACUUCUUUAUAUUGUGGGUGACCAAGCAGUGGAGCAGAUUGUCCAGAGAGAGUGUGGAGUCUCCUUCACUGGAGAUAUUUAAAGGCCAUCAGAACAGAUGGAAGGACAGAAUGCCCAGUGUGCAUUAUUUAAGGAUUCCAGAUAGAAGCUCCAUCUUUCUACUUAGACUGAUUUCAAAUGAUGUGGAAACCUUGAAGUUCCUCUGCUAACCAUCAAAGGAAAACCAGCUGGAUUAUACUGGCAAGUACCUCAGGAAGGCAGAACUAAUUGCUCCAAUUAUUACUGGAGAGCCAGGUGGGAAAUUAGAAUGUGGGGCCAAUUGGGGAUAGAUAAAAAAUACUUCUCAGAAUUUAGAGAGGAAGCUGAUAAUGCUUUGGUUUAUAAGGCUGCCGUUGUUUAUCUUGACUCAGUUUUUAAAGUUUGGGUUUUAGGCAUUAGUAGUAAGGCUAUUCCUAGCUUAAGGGGACAUGUAUAAAAUAUAGAUUUCUUUUUAAAAAACGAGAGAGGAUAAGGACUUCUGUCAGUGCAUAGGCCUGACUCAUUGCUUAAGGAUCCCUUGUGACAGAAAAGUAUAUCUGCUCUUUUAAAUUCUUAAAAUCAGCAUAUGACAGGCUAUCUGCAAGUGCUUUCAGUACUUGCUUUCUAUUCCCUUAUGUCCUUUUUUCUGCUCUGUAAUGUGGCAGCUGCUCAUGUGAGAAAUUACACUUGCUGGCAUUUUCUGCUUUAAAUUUUGUUGGCAUUGAUUAAAAUUAUGGUGUCAAGUAGUAGAUGGCAGACCCUUGCUAGAAGAUAAUGGCAGAAAGCAAGGUUCUGAUUUUAUAUUAAAGACAGUUUAAACAAAGUUAGGUUGAAUUUUAGACUUUUUAUAUAUAAAGAUAGUAGAGACCUUUGGCAAUUUUUCUUCUUCUUUCAAUUAGAUAUCUUCCUGGGAAAGGAUUAUAUUUUAAUCAGCAAUAUUUUAUUUUGAAAAAAAAUGUUUUCUACAUCUAAAUCAGAAGGGCAAUGGGACUACAAAAGCAGGUAUUACAGACACUAAGAAUGAGUUUUUAAAAAUAGAUUAACAUGUUUAUAUUGCUCUUGAGCAAAGACAAUGAGAAUGUGCAGCAAUUUCUUUUGCUAUGUACAUGACAUGGACUCAAAACUAAAAAAAUACAAUUCAACCACUGUCCAAGUCAGUGGUAAUCUGAUGAUAAAAUACUGGUAACAUUUCAGAUUGUCUAUAUUUCUCUUUACAUCCAUGGAUCAAUAUCCAUUAGAAUCAAGUCAGCAGUCUCAUACUCAAUCAGUAAAAGACUGUUGAUUAAAAAAAAUACUUGCGAUUCCAGACUUUUUCCAGGUUCUCAUAAAUUUUGGUAUAUGUUAGGAUUAAAUGUGCAAAAAUCCAGAAUUAUCUGAGUAGUGGGAAGGUAUAAAACAUCAAAGAUAGUAUUUGACCUAAAUAGUUGAUGCUUCCUGUGGUUUUGAGAUACCAAUCUAAAAAGGCCUUAAAAAGAAUUGGUUUAAGUCUUCGUCCAGAAACAUAAAACUAUUUUCCACCAUGGUGAAAGUCACUGCUUCUGACUUGGUCAUUUAUUGCUGCUUUAUAUAUUAUUCUAUGUCUGUUCUUUAUACUGCUAGGAGUCAGGAAUCAUGUUACAGAAAAUAAAAAUUUUCAGCUUAGUUCAAUUUAAUUAAAUUUAAGAAAAAGAAAUAUGACUAGUUUAUGAUCUGUAGGUAAAUUGAAGACUACUCCAGCAUGUAAAUUCACAGUUCCUCUGUCUAUUCCUGACAUAAAUAUAGAAAUGAGCCAUUGUAUGCUAUGUAAAUAUACUUGCAAUUUUCCUUGGGAAUAACAGGUCUCAGAUUCUUCCUACCCAGUACUGUACAUGUGACAUUCUCAUGUUGCUUCAGUAGUUGAAACAAUGAAAAGAAACUAAAAAGUGGAAUUUUCCUGGCACAGAGUUGCUGACCUAUCUGUUCAAAACAAAACACUGGAUGAAGUGUGUGAAAUGUGGGUGCCUGAUGCUCCUAAUCAAAGGUACAGAAGAAGGAGAGAAAUGUUUUUACUUCUGUAGCUGUCGAACACCCGAAUGUACAGCAGCUCCCAGAACACCACUCACACCAAGCAGGCAUAUCUGCAGUUUGUGUGUUGAGCCCUUCCCAAAUCUUUGUCAACUCUUUCAUAGCAAAGAGUCAUAGAAUGGUUUGGGUUGGAAGGGAUCUUUAAAGAUCAUCUGCUUCCAACCCCUUCCACUAGACCAGGUUGGUCAAACCCCCAGUGUUCAACCUGUCCUUGAACACUUCCAGGGUUAGGGCAUCCAUCAGGUCUCUGGGAAACCUGACCCAGUGCCUCACAAAUUCAAUGUAAAUCUACUCUCAGUUUAAAACCAUUGUCACUGGUAAAAAGUUUUUUCCUUUUUUUGUAAGUCCCCUUUAUCUAUUUCAAGCUACAACAAGGUUUCCUCAGACCCUUCUUUCCUCCAGGCUGGGCAACGCCAACUCUCUCAGCCUGUCUCCAUAGGAGAGGUGUUCUGUCUCUGAUUAUUCUAAAGUAAGAAAUUUUCUCACCUGUAGUAAACCUGCUAUUUUUAGCCUGGACAAACCAGACAUAAAAGUAUAGAUUUGUGCAUUUACAAAAGCAUUUGCAAAUCUCAGUAACUGUAUCAUAAUUAUCUGUUAAUAACUUUCUUCAUCUACCCUUUUUCUCCUCCUAAAAUUUUCUAGUUGAAGGUCCAAUAUUAGGGCAUUUUUCUCUGAACAUCCUCAUAAGGAAUAAUGUUAUACUUCUGAUAUUUCAACCUUUGGAUUUAAAAGAAAUCAAAAUGCUGGUUUAAGGUGUGAGAUGCAGCAAGCCCUCAGCCUGUUCUCAGUCAUAGUACAAUGAAUCCUGAGAUUUAAAGAGUGUUAUUCUAGCCUAAUUUAAGAGCAAGUAAAAAUGAAUUCUUUUCUCUGAGUUUUAAUUACUCUGAAGAAUAUUGCAUUGGUUAGCUGUGUCUAUUCUGUCAGUUUGUUUCAUGCCUUGUUUUACUCAAGAGAGCUAAUCCACUUAUCACUCCUGGGUGCUCCUCUUCAGGAGAAACAGUGUGAAACAGUUUGCAAGACAAUUUGCUCCAGGGUCUAUUCUGUGCAGAAAGGAUGGAUGAAAAUUUGACUAGGGUGGUUCAAAAAGCUAUAAAGGAUCAUUUACAAGUCAAAUUAUUCCCAGUCAGAGGGUCAUGCAUCCUUCCAAAAUCUUAUUAGAAUGACUUCCUAGCAUGUUUUAAGCUUGCUGUAGAAUUUCAACAAUUUUUGUCAUAAACAAAGAUUAGACUGCCUAUAUUAUUGAAAUACAGUGAUAAGAAAUUAAACCAUUCUGAAUUUCUUUGUUCAUUAUUUUGGCUGAUGAACCACAGAGCUCAAAAUUUAAAAAAAUAGUUUUUUUUUCAUCUCAAACUACUCUGAAUAGAUGCAAUUAAAUCCACAGUAAAAUUUGCCUGUUAAAAUAUGAUCACAAAGUAUGUUUGGGGCUUCUUCUUGUUGUGCUUGUUUUUUUUUUUAUUUCUUUUAAUCUCUAACUUAGGCAAAUAACUAGCAUGACCAAAAAUAAAUUUAAAAAAGGAAAACUCCUGCAAGAGUUCACCAAGGUUAUACUGAAUGAGAACAUAUCUCUAACAUAUAAUUUUGUAGAAAUUCAGUAAGUAUGUGUGCACCUUUAGAUUUUCAAAUAAUACAAAACUAUUCCUUCUGUUGUCCUAUGGGAAUAUAUUUACUGGGCCUUUACUAGAACAUUCUGAAAAUUUCUGUUCAGGUUCAACCAUCUGUAGAGGGAGACAGUUUCUUACUCAGAGAACUUUGUUCAAUUACAUUCAAAGUAUGAGGCUCAAAGGACCAUUGGAAAGGUCAUGAAGUGAACCUUUGAGAAAUGGCUGGACAGUGAACAGAAGAUUUUGGUAUUCAGGACAUGGACUGGUGGAUAAUAAAAAUAAAGAAGAAAAAAGAAAGGUAGGAAAGCCUUACUGUCUUGGAAGAUUUGGGUGAGGUGCUGCACUGCUCUUGUAGAAAGAUUACAAUUUUCUGACUGAAAAUCCUCACAAUAAUAAGGCAAGGCACAGAGGAUGACAGAAGCACUGUGAGUUCUCAUUCACUCAAAAAACCCUGACACACUCCUAAAAGACUCUUUGCUUGAGGUGAACCUCAGUGGUUGAGGACUGAGGAAUGAUUGAGGAAUGAUAUUUUGCAUGCAUACAGAAUCUUCAGCUGGAGAAGAUACAACAUUCCCAUGACAAUGCUAUUUAUAUCUAUAUAUCUCUCUCCUAUUAGAAGCAAUGGCAUCUUGGGAUUACUUAGCAAAUUCACGCUUAUAAAAUGUAUGGAAAUAUUUUCCCCAUAUAUUUUUUAAAUGGAUAAAUGGUUGGUAGUUGGAAAAUACCAUCUGGAACUUAUUGAGCAACUGAGCAACUUCAUAGGACAGAUAUACCAAUCAUGAUCUACAACUGAAUCAAGAUAUUAAUCAUGUGGUUUUAAUUGUUAGUUUCAAUCUUUACAUGGAUGAAAUUGAGUUUUUUAUAAUGUCUGUAAUACUUUAACCAUGUUAUAAGAAAUCGUUGAACAAGGUAUAUUGUACUUUCUGAAACAAAUACAGAAGUUGGCUUGCAUAACUUAAUGGAGACCACAAUAUGUAUAAUAAGAUUUACUGAAGCUUAAGAAGUUGAAGUAUUUCAUCUGCUCAGGGCAGAAUGCCCAGAGUAAGAUAGCAUGCAACAAUGCCUAUCAUAAAAAUAACUAAUACAGUGUCCAAGAACAAAACUCUGAUUUUUUUUAUAUUAUUAAGUAGUACAAAAAUACAGACUAUUAGAAGAGAAUAUAUUCAGAGAAACAAAGAUUAUCAUAGACAGAAUCACAGUUGUUUAUAUUGACCAUUUGGUUAUGCCAGCAAAGUAAUUAGCACUGUUGUCCAGUAUUUACUUAAAACUAUCCUGAUAUAUGUUAAUAGCACAAAAACUAUUCCCAACAAAACAUUAACACAUGUGGACAAACAAUUACAAAAUGAGCAUUUUUUCCCUGGAGAUUCCACUUAUGUAAAUGCCUGAAUUCUGUUGUCAUAUCCCCAUGAGCUGAACUCAAGCCCUGUUGCUACAGUUCUGUUUCAGGCACCCAGAAACCAAUUCUCAUUGUCAUUUUAGGAUCUCACUUUUCUUUGCCUGCAUCUACUGGUCUUAGAGAUCCUCUGAGUCCCUUGCCAGAUUUGUCAGGCCUGUGAAUUACUUGGAUGACUGAAACAUUUCACAUAGCAGUAGAACUUCAUGCUCAAUCAACUAAAUUUAUUCUUCACCAUUUUAAAGAGAUUAACCCAAGGCUACUUUUUAUAGAAGUUAUGCCCUAAGAAUGUCUGAAAAUGUAAAAAAAAAGAGUACCAGUAUGAAAAAGCUUUACAUGUAACUCUAAGUCAUUACUUGCAAAUAAGAGUACAAAUGCCAGCUAUGGGAGAUUCAACAGUUAAUGAAAAGUGGGAAUGAAUAUUUGCUUCCACUUAACUCCAGAGCUCAUCUGGUCCACAACACAGGUAAGUGAACUACAGAAAAUACAUGGUUUUAAGAUUGUCAUUCUCUUUUAUUCAUCUAUAGAAAGAAUGCCACAAUAAAUCUGUAAUACUGAAGUAAUUCUCAGGUAAUCUUGAGUUCCUCUAAAUUCUGAACUACUUUCCCAAAAGAUAAUUACAUUUACAUGCUGAAACUCAAAUGCUCUUGAAUUGUUUUCCAGCUUUUAGUUUAAUUUAUCCUUUGACACUGACAUUUCCCCUCUUAGUCAGCUGGAAAUCAGACACUGAAAUCCAGACUGCCUGCACCAGCCUCUCUCAAUGGCAAAAAACACUCAAUAGGGAACCAGUCAUUUUAUCAGACUAGGAGUUGUAACACUUAGAACUCCCAAGGUAGCAGAGGUGAAUUGCAUUGUAAGAGAAAAUCAGGGAAUUGCAGCUCUUCAGUCAUUUGCAAAUUUUGAAGACAAGAAGAAACAUCUUUGGAAAGGUAAUUUCAGACCAAUAGUUACACACACAUCUUCCAGAAUGUUUCAAAAGGUGGUUUGGGUAUUAUUUGGUUUGUUAUUACUUGUAUUUGUUUGGGUUUGUGGUUAAUUAAUAAUACCAAUAAGGAAAAAAAAAAAUUCUGUUUGUAGGCUCUGAAAUUUAGGAUCCAAGACAUAACCUAAGGGGCAACUUAUGAUGAACAAAAUAAUGAAGAUAUAUUUUUUACAGUUAUAAAUCUGUAUAAAACUCAUCACGAUAAAAUAAAAAUUAAAAAUUCUUGACUUCCCAUUUUCAUCCCACCAUUUCUCUUUUAGAAAACAAAUUUUUUAAAUGCUUAAAUAUACUAUUGAAAAAUUCAAUUUUACUAGGAGACUAUCAAAGUGUUUCAUAUUUGAUAUUUGAUAAAGCAAAUUAUUAAGUAUUUUUAACGACUACUAUGUAUGGAAAUUUUUAGUAAAAUGCAUAUACAUGGGUAAGAAUUCUUGUUUUGGAAAAGAGAACUUUAUAGAUCUACCUGUAAAUUCUAAUUUGAUUUCUUCAGCUCUGUGGAACAUUAGAUUGCUUUUACCUCAAAUAUGGAAACAGCAAUUAUUUCCUCAUGUAUAGAGAUUCUGGAAACCUGAAAAAUGCUGAUUUUUUAAAAUGACUAAGCUUAAGGUCCAUUUAUAAAUUAUAAAUAAAAAUUUUGAUUUAUUAAUUAAUUGAUCCUCAAAGCUUAAUUCAAAUGCAUCUAAAUGAAAAAGGUCUUAUUUUAAUAAUAAAAUGAAGGUCAUGAUAAUUAAGUUUUAUAUUUGAGGUCAAUAUAAACAUACACUUGAAAGAAUAUACCUCAUAUGUAAAGGGAAAUGUAAUUUUCAUAAUGUGUCCUUCAGUACAAAAUAUUUUCCAUUUUCAUGUGGUUUUCUAUUAUUACACAAGAAAAAGAUAAUCUCGUUCCUUAUGAAAUUAUGAAAGUCAUCCUGUCUGGUGCUUUCCAGCUCCAAUAUUACAGUGUCUUUUUCUUUCUCAGCACCACAUUAAUACCAAAACAAAAUCAUUCAGGAUUUACCAAUCCAAUAAAUGUUUCAUUAUAGUUCAUCUGCAUUAAGUGCAGCAGUCAAACCUGCUCAGCUAAUAUUUUUAUUUUAAAUUAAUGUUUUAUGUAAACACUAACAUUAAUAAUUGAUUUAUGAAGCAAAUAUUCUGAAAUUUUAUAAAAAUAGAGCCUGAUAGGCAUUAGACAUAUUCUUCAAAUCCACUGAGCACUGAGUCUGCUCCAUACUUUGUAUGUUUUAUUUGAAAAGCAAUGAACAUCAGAAGACAGAUAUUAUUGUAUAUUAUUCAUUGUAAUCUACCUAUUUAAUUACUUUAAAUAUACAGGUAGGACCCCAUUCUCAUUUAAACUGAAGAAUCAUUACACUGGUGUUCUGUGUAAAGGGCCUCUAGAGAAAAUGAAGUUCAGGAUUUCAAUCUACAAUACAAAGAGAGCAUAGACUAAUUUUUCAUAGCAUGACAAGUCAAAGAAAUGGGCACAUCCUUCCUAAAAAGAUGGGCUACCACUGUGGAGCUGUUUGUAUUUCUUUUUACCUUCUGAAUCAGCCACUCCCACUCCCGACUGCUUCACUGGUUCUUGUCCAUUCUGGCUCAUCUUCCCUCUGUGAAAAGAUAUGGUUGCUGUUGUCAAUAAACCAUAGAAAGAUAAGAGCUAAAACAAUGAUAUAUCUAAGCUAAUGAGGCUUGGUUAUUUUAAGAAUAUUGUAUUUUUUCUCUUUUGAAGGCAGCUGCAAUCACAUCUUGCUAAGCCUGUACAUCCUUACAGAAUGGAUCCAUCAGGUGCUGUCUCCUACCUGCCCCACAUCAGUCUGGGGCUACAAAUGUCUUCUCACUUUAUCUUGUCAUAGUCAAAAUGAGAAGAUAAAUGAAAUAUAUAAUAAGCAGUCAUAAAAAUUGAUAUUUAGUCUACCAUACCAUUACUUCAAAGGUAGGGCAUACUUGUGGUUGCCAUCUUCUUAAAUUAUUGUUUUACUUUAUAGUUUAGAUUUAGCAUACGAAACAAUUCUGAAAACUCAACAUUAAUCUUAAAGAGAGUGGAAUAAAUCAUGCCCUAGAGUUCACUAUUUUUCUGCAUUUUAUGUAGAAAGAACCUGCAUUAGAAUCUUAAUGUCUAUUUUUACCCAAUGAAAGUUAGGUAAAAUAUAAGCUAUCUUUAAUUAUACUUGUUGCAAGCUCAAAGGCAUGAUUAAAAUCACUCUCAAACAUUUUUUGCUUCUAGUUUCCUUUUUGCCCUAAGACUCUGACUGCUGUGAUAGAGACUAUAAGGCAUUAUCUUCAGUUGCAUGUGAUUCCUUGGGGGUUAAAGGGUCAGCACUGUUCUUUUCUACCUGAGUAGAAAAGUGUCAACCUGUGAGAAGAAAACUUCAUGUCUGAAGUUGCCAAAAUUCACAGGGAACUAAAAAAUUAGUAUAAAAUCAGUUUUUCAAGUGAUUUUACAUUCAGUUUUAACUGAAAGCUAUUAUUUCCUUCUUCUGUAGAUAAAGCUUCAUAAAUCUUUACAAAUAUGAUACAAGAAUUAUUUGUCCCAAGGGUUAUAUUCAUUAUACAUCAUUAAAUUGGUUUUCACCUUUGCAUUCAAAAUGAAUUUUAUUUUACAGCCAAUGUACUGCUAUAAAGUGUUAUACAACACAAAAGCAUAGAGAAUCUGGUCUUUAUCAGAGAUAAGAACAUGAGUCGCUUUCAAGAAUAUUACAACUGGAUAAUAGGAGUAUUUAAAAAAAAAAAUUAGAAAGACUUUACAAGAUAUAUUCAGAUUUAUGUAACUGUAUAUAAUCAUUAAUUUCCCUUGAUAGGUAUAGCUACUUAAUAUUGGCAAAUAUUCUAAUUAGUUACCUCAUCAAACAAUUCCCAUGGUGUCAUUAUUUAAUUAUUUUAUUUUGCUUCAAGACUAAUUGUUGCUAUGCUUAAAGCGCUUGGACUAAAACAAAGAGUGUAAAACUCAGCAUAUCCAACAAUUUCUGUUGAUAGACCAGAAACUUAGUCAAAGCAGAGAGCUUACAACCAAAAGAGAAUUUAAAUGCCAAGAUGCUUAAAAAUAUUUAGCCUUCUUAAUACUUCACAUCCAAAUUGUAAGCUGUGAGCUUAUGGAUUUGCUGAAUUAGUGUACAAGGUCAGAGUCCCUGAAGUCAUUAUCAAGCCAGUGUGAAUGCAAAUGAUGAGUAGAAUUUCAAUUAUACUUAUAUUCAGAUCAAUAAGAAUUUUUAUACAGAAUUUAAAAUGGAAACAGUUAUCUAUUUUAAAGAUUCUCUCCAUUAAUGAUCUGAUGCUAAACAGUUAUUUUGUCAUUCAUUUUCCUUACACUGCUAUGUAAAGCCCUGGGGAACUAACAUGAAAAAUGAAGCAGGUCCUGUCUGUAAAAAUUUUCUGUGUAAUUUUAAAUACGCUGUAAGCAUAUAAAUAACUUAGUUUAAAAUGCCAUAAUAAAAAAAAAAAGUGGCCUUACAAAAAAUGAGACGUGGAUAUAUUUUUUAUACUUAGGUAUAAUUAAUGAGAACAAAUUUUUUAUGAGAAAAUCUGAAGCUGUGGAGUCUUCCUCCUGCUUUUCAGCAGAAGUGGGGCUGAUUUCAGGCUUAAAAGACCAAUGAGUCUGUCAGCCAAAUAGCAAGGAACUGUAGGUACUGUCACAUUGCCAGUCAAUACACAGUAAGUGAUGUUAUUUGGACUCAAAUUUGGCAUGUGAACAGAAAAUUUCUAUUGAGAGCUCCAUCUUGUGUUAUUGUGCACAAAGAUUUUAUGUAUCUUUGCUUUUCUCACUAGGAAUGACAGCCCAAUAUUUUUCUUUUUCUUUUGAUGUUGUCAAAGUCCAAGUUUAUAUUUUUUUACCCCUUUUAACUUAGAACAACAUGAGUGAAAAAUCCAAUGCAAAUCAAACAAUUAGCACCCUACAAUCUAAGCUCACAUAAUCCUCCUGGAUUCUGAAAGUGAGAUUGAAGUCUUAGAUUUAUCUCUAUUUUCCCUUUAGUUACUGACAAGAUGUAGACAAAUACCAUUGUGCUUUAUUUAUUAAAUAAUAAAUACUCAGAAAUAUCACAGUUCUAGAGAAUUUUCACUUCAUUCAAGUUUUUCUAGGAAGCUUAUCUCUUUUGUAUCCUUUUGUUCACAACUUCAAGGGAAAAGCAAAUUUUUUUUGUUCCAGAGAAAAUAUUGAACAACUAUUGCAGACAAUGAAUCAACAUUGACUACCAACUAAUAUUUUGAGAACAGUCAAUCUGUAAAUUUUUUUCAGGACAGAAUCACUUAGUUGAUUAGAAGUUCCUCUGUCCUAUUAAGGAAUAUAAAUGAAAUUCGUAAAUGAUGGUGCAUGCUGACAGAGGAGGUGAAAAAAAUUCUGGCAAAACUUUUCUCUAUGGAGUACUUAACUGGGUAAGAAAUUUGUAAAAUUAAAUCAUUUUAUAGGAUCAUUACCCUGACAGUAGCCUGAUAAUUCCUACAGGGACUCUGUACCAAAAAGCUUUUUCCAGCCAAGAACUGAGAAAUUAAUUUGAAACUCCUAAAAACUUGGGAAAAGCUGGGCUGUAUCCAGAAUAUGAAUUCCCCUUGCACUAGUAACAUCUCUUUACAGAGGGAGGAAAACCUUAACCUAAGCUUUCUCAAUCCUACAAUGAUUGCACUUUUAAAACAUAAGCUAAGCCCAUCUCUACACACAUUCAUCAGGGGCUGAGGCCAGCACAUCUCCUACAUGACAGGAAGAAAUUCACAAGGUUGAGGCAGAGGUUUGAUUGGUUACUAACAAUUCAAUGCUCAACAAAGCAGAAUAAAAGUGUGAACUGUGGGGAAAUCCCCCCUUUAGCUGCUCUGCUCCUGCAUAACUCAAGUCUGCAGAGGAAACUGCAUAAGAAGAUGAGUGGCACAGUGAAAGUGCUGUAAAUUGUGCAUGGAGGAUACAAUACAGGAAUGGAAA